rnacentral:rRNA from 1 species
ACGGANGUCACUCCAACCAUGUGACGUUACCAAACUGUUGCCUCGGCGGGAUCUCUGCCCCGGGUGCGUCGCAGCCCCGGACCAAGGCGCCCGCCGGAGGACCAACCUAAAACUCUUAUUGUAUACCCCCUCGCGGGUUUUUUUUAUAAUCUGAGCCUUCUCGGCGCCUCUCGUAGGCGUUUCGAAAAUGAAUCAAAACUUUCAACAACGGAUCUCUUGGUUCUGGCAUCGAUGAAGAACGCAGCGAAAUGCGAUAAGUAAUGUGAAUUGCAGAAUUCAGUGAAUCAUCGAAUCUUUGAACGCACAUUGCGCCCGCCAGUAUUCUGGCGGGCAUGCCUGUCCGAGCGUCAUUUCAACCCUCGAACCCCUCCGGGGGGUCGGCGUUGGGGAUCGGCCCUCCCUUAGCGGGUGGCCGUCUCCGAAAUACAGUGGCGGUCUCGCCGCAGCCUCGCCUGCGCAGUAGUUUGCACACUCGCAUCGGGAGCGCGNGGCGACCACAGCCGUUAAACACCCAACUUCUGAAAUGUUGACCUCAGAUCAGGAAUGAAUGCCCGCUGAACUUAGUUAUAUUAAUAAGCGGGAGGAGGGCCCUAGUAGACUCACCACAACUACAUUAUAAUUCCAUCUUUGUUGUGCUAAAUUGUGAAAUAGCUCUGAGGUGAAAUAUGUUAGUGCUAACAA